UACGAAGGGGGCUAGCGUUGCUCGGAAUCACUGGGCGUAAAGGGUGCGUAGGUUGUCAAAUGUGUCAGAUGUGAAAUUUUGGAGCUUAACUCCAAACCUGCGUCUGAAACUGUUUGACUAGAGUGUUGGAGAGGUAAGUGGAAUUCCUGGUGUAGCGGUGAAAUGCGCAGAUAUCAGGAGGAACACCGAUGGCGAAGGCAGGUCUCUGGGCAUUAACUGACGCUGAGGAGCGAAAGCAUGGGGAGCGAACAGG
rnacentral:rRNA from 1 species